rnacentral:misc_RNA from 1 species
UUAACUAUUAUAUAAUACUCAGACAUCACUGAUAAAAGAGUUUGGGUCCUCUGGCGGGCACGAUCAGCCGAGGCCGACGUCUAAAAGAACGGCCCGCCAAAGCAACAAAGGUAAAUAAACACAGGGUGUAUAAUAUCUCCCAUUCCCAUCCAAUGCGUUUUACGGCAAAGGACCGGUCCGGUUACAUUAAUGAUCCUUCCGCAGGUUCACCUACGGAAA